CCAGAUUUGAUUAAUUUCUAGACUCACCAUUUACAGAGGACACUCACACCACUCUUUCAAGUUUUUAUGAAUUGCUUGCAUGCCCACGUAUUUAGUUUUAUCCUUUCCUGAUCUUUAUGCUAUUCAUUCUCAUAUGAUAAACUUUUGCUAACCCUGAAUACAUUCUUGAAUCAUGCGUAUCUAUUGAAAGGACAUCAAAAUGUUGCUGCAAUGAAUUAUGCAUCACUGGGUCAAAGAUAUGAAAACUCUGAUGGAUGUAGUGUUAUAUGUGGGGCUCAAACAGAACUUGAUUUGGCUAAAACUAUGAUGCUUUGCACAGGGUAACGGACUGUUGCCCUUUAUUUCUUUAAUACUUACCUUGCAAUUCUCAGUGUUGUAACAUUAAAACUAUCAACCACAAGGCUUGAAUCAUGCUAAUUAUCUACUUGGAAUGUAUAAUAGCAUCAAAAUGACAGUUACUUCCAUGUUUGUAUUCAUCUGCUUUUUUGAAAUUUUUGCUAUGGCAUUGUCGUUUUCACUCAUCCUUUUUCCAUAUGACGCUAGGUUGCAGUUUUUUUUUCUCAUCCAUUAUAUUCUUAAAUUGAUUUUGGUUCUGUUUUGCAUUGUAUUGAAGACAGUGCAUUAGAUUUGUGUACUUCAACAUGACAUCAUUUUUUUUUUUUGAAAUUUUAAUCAAUUAGAUUUGAAGACUGCAUUAGAUUUGUGUACUUCAUCCAUUAUAAUAAUCAGUAUGUUUUUUUUGAAAUUUUAAUUCAAAUUUUACGUGCUUGUAAAUCAAAUGUUAGUACUUCACAUUGCAAUUAUAAUUUACAAUUCAGUCGCACUUACACUGUUGUUAUCAAUUUUCAUCUUUUUAUGUGUAAAAUAAAUUAUAAAAGGUUACAUGUAAUAUGUUAUUCCCUUUUCUCCCUCUGUGUAAUAAAUUAUGGAGCGCGAAAACUUGUCGUGCAAUCUGACAUUGUUUCAGCUUAUGCAAUGCACUUGUUUGUGCAUGCCACAAUAGUACAUGUACUUUCUUUUAUCAUCUCUUGUUUCUAUAUUGGUUUUAUGUUGUGGUUUCCAGUUCAUAGAAAAUGGCCUAUGGUGAGGAUAUUCAGCCCCUUUUUUGUGACAAUGGAACUGGAAUGGUGAAGGUUCGUAAACAUUUUAAAAUUUUCUAGCCUUCUGUAUUCAAGUUAUUAUGUAAUUAAUUUCAAGGGACUUGUUUAAUGUUACCCCUGCAGGCUGGCUUUGUCGGUGAUGAUGCUCCUGCAGAUUCGUGAUAAACCUUUCUCUAUUUCCAUUGCCAAAAUCCAACAAUAUGCUUAGAUUUCCAUGGA
rnacentral:lncRNA from 1 species